CGAACUCCGGCGGAAACUGUUUCCAGCCCUCUCAAGGCUGAAACAGGGGUUCGAUUCCCCUAGGGAGCGCCA
rnacentral:tRNA from 1 species